ACAUACGACAGGAUUUACACAAACACACACAGCACAAAUAUUACAACUAGUAACGUGGGCUUUAAAUUUCCCUGAAAGAUGUGUGUAAAUGAACAGAAUAAAACGAGAACCUUUUGUUAAAACAAAAAAGUUUUUUAAUCUAAUUGUAAAAUAUCAGAAAAGAAAACAACAUAUUCUGGUAUUUUUAAUUUUUUAUAUUAAUUUCACCAAAAUCCAUCGCAUGAUGUGUUUUGGUUUCUUUUUAAAAAUCGGAUUAUCGUUGGUUUGUGGUUUUAUUUUUGUAUUUUCGUUAUUUCUUUAAAUCCAAGCUUUUAUUUUGAAGGUCAACGGAUGUGUGGUGUGUACCCCCUUUCUCUCGUUAGUUUGUGUUGUUCCUGAUUGAGAGAGGAGGACGCCACACUUACGUUUACGUGUUUUCAUGAUCUCCGUGCAGGUCAACGUCAUCCACUGAAGACACACUUCCUCAUAAAGGAGAAGAACAAAGUCCACGAGACUGAGCUGAGCACAGUCUGAUCUGAGGGUGUGGAGAAGUGAGUCCAGCAUCAGCCUGAGCAAAGGUUGACAGACAAGGGAAAAGAAAACCGCCAGGAAAUGUUUAAGGCCGGGGAGGAGGGGGAUUUAUUCAUCAUCAGAAUGUGUCACCUCCCUAAGAUAUGAUCUCUGUGAGGCAAGAACACUCACCACUCCUCCACCAUGUGGCUCUGACUGGACUCAACAACUUAAUCCAUAAUGAUUUAUAAGUGAAUUGUCCAGCACACCAGAAUGUUUUUUUUUUUAAUAUUUUACCCGCUACAUCUUUGCUCCCGUCUCUUGCAUUUCCAUCAUCACGCCGUUAGAGGUCAGCCUUUCACACUAGACCUCGUUCAGAAGCCACUAAUCUGAAACAAUCACUGUCGUCACGAAACGUCAUCAGACAAAGAUAAGGCUCAGUGAACGCAAUCGAGGUUUAAUAAAACACUGAAAAUCUGAUGACGUCACGUGGAAACAUAACUGAACACAAACAGUAAACGCAGAACUCCA